AUUGAACGCUGGCGGCAGGCUUAACACAUGCAAGUCGAGCGGAGAUGAGGUGCUUGCACCUUAUCUUAGCGGCGGACGGGUGAGUAAUGCUUAGGAAUCUGACUAUUAGUGGGGGACAACAUUCCGAAAGGAAUGCUAAUACCGCAUACGUCCUACGGGAGAAAGCAGGGGACCUUCGGACCUUGCGCUAAUAGAUGAGCCUAAGUCGGAUUAUCUAGUUGGUGGGGUAAAGGCCUACCAAGGCGACGAUCUGUAGCGGGUCUGAGAGGAUGAUCCGCCACACUGGGACUGAGACACGGCCCAGACUCCUACGGGAGGCAGCAGUGGGGAAUAUUGGACAAUGGGGGGAACCCUGAUCCAGCCAUGCCGCGUGUGUGAAGAAGGCCUUAUGGUUGUAAAGCACUUUAAGCGAGGAGGAGGCUACUGAGACUAAUACUCUUGGAUAGUGGACGUUACUCGCAGAAUAAGCACCGGCUAACUCUGUGCCAGCCGCCGCAGUAACAC
rnacentral:rRNA from 1 species